UGUCAAUGAUGUUGUAUUUGCUACUCUUGAUUUAAAUAUGCUGAAAAAUUUACCACCAUUUUUUGGACUGAGACA